CGUGCAACCGGCGACAGCUCAAGGCUGCUGCAUGAAUAACAAUAAUAAACUGGUAGCCCGUGUUCAAGACUUGCUAGUGCACAACCUAUUUCUAAUAGUGCCCCCGUCACAUUUGCCUCAAACAAACUGAUGUCUCGUUCACAUUUGACGGAUCUUUUUUAUUUAUUUAUUUAUUUAUUGACAGCAGUGUAGUUAAAGCCUUGUUGUCACUGGCUCCUAAGAGCCGGAUUGUUGAAAAGGAGAAGGCUAUAAACUUGUCAUUCGUGCACAACGACGUCUGCCACAAUAUAUAACUUAUACUCUACCUCGUCAGGUCGCCAACAUUACCUCAGAGAGACUUUACUUUGUGUCCGGCGUCGCGGAGAAUCGACCAAAACGACUCUUUAUUUUUGCGUUGACUGACAGCGUACAGCAAACUCAACUAGUCGAGAGGUCACACAGCAAAAGUUGAAAUUACUCUACUGAAUGUUUAAUAGCACUUACUGGAUAAGCCUGGGCGCGUUUCAGAGGAAUCGACUGCAUCUCUCUCGUUGCCAGCCGGCCACUGGUGACACCCUCACAUCGACAUUUUCAUCCAGGCAAGUUGACAACAACCUUCUAUUCACCGACUAAGUGCAGUUUCAGCAAAGCUUCAAGGAAGUUGUUUCUUUUGUUCCAGUAUUUUUGGUUGCGUCAAUGUUGCGAAAAGGGGGGAGGAGGCGGAGCGGUGGAUACACAGAGCGACCGAGGGAGAGAAAGAAAAAACACACACAAACACACACACACACACAUACAUACGCACACAUCUGAGCGCACUAUAGCCUAGUUCGCACGCCUGGCCAUUAACGCACAGAGAAAAAAAAAACCCUCAUCCAAAUCCGCCACAAAGUCUUCUCAACAGCUCAGCUCACGUGUCCGGGACGACCAGCAUCUCUUCAAAGUGAAGCAGACAAGGCUACAAGGCACACGGUGCCCGGGUCCGAUAGGCUGUCCAAGAUCAGGCUACUACAGGUCGGUGCGCCCGUGCGCGUGUAGAGGAACGGGUGCAUUUGCAUACAGUGCGUCUCGGUAAAUUGAGUUCCUGCACAGAGCCGCACAGCAGAGACGGGCUUUCUCUUUGUUACUUCGCCGAGCCACGGUCUUCAAAAGCAGAACGCGUGCAGCCUACACGCCUUUUCAACUUCAAACUAGUUUCCGGACAGUGCAGGGCGGUAACGCGUUACUGAGCAACGCGUUACCCCCCACAGCAAGGAGUAGGAGUCCUCCAGUUUUCUACCACUCAAAGAAAGAAAGAAAAAAACAACAACCCUGUGCUGUCAAACGAAUUCAGCUUUCCUUCAGCGUAAAAGCUGGACUGCAUUUGAGCAAUAAUCCC
ensembl:lncRNA